UGUUUCUGUGACUCUCAGUGCUCCAGAGCCGAGGGUUUCACAGCAACCAAAGCCUUGCUGAGGGACUCCUUGUCCCAGGGCUGGCAGACAGGGAUCUGCUCUUGCUGAAGCCUGUUGGACACGACCAUCAGGGCCAGUUAAUGCCCAGGGAGCUCAAGGCAGGAGUGCUACAGGGACAGCAAGAGUGGCUCUGGACUGCAGUGGUGUGACAAGUGCCCUUAAUCUCUCCCGUCAGAGUCUCGAAGGUGGGGAUGAGCUCCAAAGAUAACCACAUACAUGACAGCCUGUCUGGAAGCACAAGCUGCUCCAGUCCAGCCCAUGACAGAGUACAAGUGAGAGGGCCAAUAAAUAAUUGACCAUGGUGGUGAUUAA